AAUUUUAGCACUUUCAUAAUUAAAUCCAAAUUAGUUGAGGAUGGUGAUAGGUGACAUCAUGAAAAUGAUCUAACAAAAUAUUCCAUUCCUCCAACCUCAAGCCUCUUGUGAAACGAAUUUAAUAUUUUUAAAAAAGUUUUUUUUCUUAUACCAUUAUUAUAGUUUCCCUCAUGCACAUUUUGCCAAUUUAUAAUAAUUCUAUCUUGAUUGUCAUAAUUUAUUGGUAUGAUGUUAUUUUUCUUAUACUUUUCCUUGUCCCGUUCAAAGUCGUCUCGCUCCCUUUCCCUAUCAUCUAGUUUUGUGGUUGCUUGGAUCAGAAAGUGCAAAACGUAGCCUUUAGUAGUUGCGAUUAUUGCUGCAUAAGCUGCACCAGAGAAAAAGCUUGACUUUCUUUUUCUUUCAAGGGAGCUGUAUAUGCAUCGUUGCCGAUUAUUGCGAAGAUGAAAAUAUGAGAGUGAUUAUCCCUGAUUUUGCUAACAUUUUAAAUGUGUACCUAUAAGGAAAGAUAAGAAUAAAGAACAAAGGAGCCACUAAACGAGGGAAGGGAAAACAAUAGUUAAGUAAAAUUCUUCAUCAUUGUCACCGGCUAUAUUUUAUCGUAAAAUAUUGCUAACCUGUGUUUGUAGAGCACAACCUUUUGCCAAGAUCGUCGCUGUUUUCAGCCUGUGUUGUAAGCACGUCCAGGUAUCUGGAGAAUGAAAGACCUCAGAUUUCAUAAAUACUCCCUCGUAUCAAGAACGAUAGAAGGGGUAAUGAGGUUGAAAAUAAAGAAAUGAAUAGGAUGAUUAUAGAACAUCUUUUGUGGUGUAAUCUGAGGACGGUGACAAUUUUUUUUCCCCGUGUUCAGGGCGGAGAUCAUGAGGAAGUCUAGAGGAGCACUUUUUCCGGAAGAGGUAGUUAAAUGCGAUUUCAAUACUUAUGAAGCUUCUCUGUGCCUUCCCGGUAGCUUAA
rnacentral:lncRNA from 1 species